AGCAGCCGCGGUAAUUCCAGCUCCAAUAGCGUAUAUUAAAGUUGUUGCAGUUAAAAAGCUCGUAGUUGAACUUCAGGAUCAAGGAAUCGGUCAUGCCUUGGUAUGUACUGGUUUUAUUGGUUCUCACCUUCUAAAGAACCAUAAUGUCAUUCAUUUGAUGUUAUGGGGAAUUAGGACUAUUACCUUGAAAAAAUUAGAGUGUUUAAAGCAGGCAUGCGCUUGAAUACAUUAGCAUGGAAUAAUGAAAUAGGACGUUCGAUUCUAUUUUGUUGGUUUCUAGGAUCGACGUAAUGAUUAAUAGGGAUAGUUGGGGGCAUUAGUAUUCAAUUGUCAGAGGUGAAAUUCUUGGAUUUAUUGAAGACUAACUACUGCGAAAGCAUUUGCCAAGGAUGUUUUCAUUAAUCAAGAACGAAAGUUAGGGGAUCGAAGACGAUCAGAUACCGUCGUAGU
rnacentral:rRNA from 1 species